CUCUGUGGGAUCAGUGGCGAACGGGUGAGUAACACGUGAGCAACCUGCCCCUGACUCUGGGAUAAGCGCUGGAAACGGCGUCUAAUACUGGAUAUGUGACGUGAUCGCAUGGUCUGCGUCUGGAAAGAAUUUCGGUUGGGGAUGGGCUCGCGGCCUAUCAGCUUGUUGGUGAGGUAAUGGCUCACCAAGGCGUCGACGGGUAGCCGGCCUGAGAGGGUGACCGGCCACACUGGGACUGAGACACGGCCCAGACUCCUACGGGAGGCAGCAGUGGGGAAUAUUGCACAAUGGGCGCAAGCCUGAUGCAGCAACGCCGCGUGAGGGAUGACGGCCUUCGGGUUGUAAACCUCUUUUAGCAGGGAAGAAGCGAAAGUGACGGUACCUGCAGAAAAAGCGCCGGCUAACUACGUGCCAGCAGCCGCGGUAAUACGUAGGGCGCAAGCGUUAUCCGGAAUUAUUGGGCGUAAAGAGCUCGUAGGCGGUUUGUCGCGUCUGCUGUGAAAUCCGGAGGCUCAACCUCCGGCCUGCAGUGGGUACGGGCAGACUAGAGUGCGGUAGGGGAGAUUGGAAUUCCUGGUGUAGCGGUGGAAUGCGCAGAUAUCAGGAGGAACACCGAUGGCGAAGGCAGAUCUCUGGGCCGUAACUGACGCUGAGGAGCGAAAGGGUGGGGAGCAAACAGGCUUAGAUACCCUGGUAGUCCACCCCGUAAACGUUGGGAACUAGUUGUGGGGUCCAUUCCACGGAUUCCGUGACGCAGCUAACGCAUUAAGUUCCCCGCCUGGGGAGUACGGCCGCAAGGCUAAAACUCAAAGGAAUUGACGGGGACCCGCACAAGCGGCGGAGCAUGCGGAUUAAUUCGAUGCAACGCGAAGAACCUUACCAAGGCUUGACAUAUACGAGAACGGGCCAGAAAUGGUCAACUCUUUGGACACUCGUAAACAGGUGGUGCAUGGUUGUCGUCAGCUCGUGUCGUGAGAUGUUGGGUUAAGUCCCGCAACGAGCGCAACCCUCGUUCUAUGUUGCCAGCACGUAAUGGUGGGAACUCAUGGG
rnacentral:rRNA from 1 species